rnacentral:rRNA from 1 species
GACGAACGCUGGCGGCGUGCUUAACACAUGCAAGUCACGGGGGCCCGCAAGGGCAACCGGCGAACGGGUGCGUAACACGUGAGCAAGCUACCGAUUUCUGGGGGAUAGCCGGCCCAACGGCCGGGUAAUACCGCAUACGUUCACUAGGCGGCAUCGUCUGGUGAGGAAACCUCCGGGGGAAAUCGAGGCGCUCGCGGCCUAUCAGCUAGUUGGCGGGGUAACGGCCCACCAAGGCGACGACGGGUAGCUGGUCUGAGAGGAUGGCCAGCCACAUUGGGACUGCGACACGGCCCAGACUCCUACGGGAGGCAGCAGUGGGGGAAUAUUGCACAAUGGACGAAAGUCUGACGCAGCGACGCCGCGUGUAGGAUGAAGCCUUUCGGGGUGUAAACUACUGUUGCCCGGGACGAAACUCCUUUUUCGAGAGGACUGACGGUACCGGGUGAGGAAGCACCGGCUAACUCUGUG